ensembl:snRNA U5 U5 spliceosomal RNA
AUACUCUGGUUUCUCUUCAGAUUGUAUAAAUCUUUCACCUUUUACUAAAGAUUUUAGUGGAGAGGAACAUUAACCAUGUACACACACAUCCACUGGAAGUUCUUCUGAACGCAGCACC